AACGCACAUUGCGCCCAUUAGUAUUCUAGUGGGCAUGCCUGUUCGAGCGUCAUUUCAACCCUUAAGCCUAGCUUAGUGUUGGGAAUCUACUUCUUUAUAGUUGUAGUUCCUGAAAUACAACGGCGGAUUUGUAGUAUCCUCUGAGCGUAGUAAUUUUUUUCUCGCUUUUGUUAGGUGCUACAACUCCCAGCCGCUAAACCCCCAAUUUUUUGUGGUUGACCUCGGAUCAGGUAGGAAUACCCGCUGAACUUAA
rnacentral:misc_RNA from 1 species